rnacentral:rRNA from 1 species
UGAGGAAUAUUGGGCAAUGGGCGCAAGCCUGACCCAGCCAUGCCGCGUGAAGGAUGAAUGCCCUAUGGGUUGUAAACUUCUUUUUUACGGGAAGAAACUCUCGGACGUGUCCGGGAUUGACGGUACCGUAUGAAUAAGCAUCGGCUAACUCCGUGCCAGCAGCCGCGGUAAUACGGAGGAUGCAAGCGUUAUCCGGAUUUAUUGGGUUUAAAGGGUGCGUAGGCGGAAUAAUAAGUCAGUGGUGAAAGCCCUGUAGCUUAACUAUAGAAUUGCCAUUGAUACUGUCAUUCUUGAGUACAGUUGAGGUAGCGGAAUGUGUAAUGUAGCGGUGAAAUGCUUAGAUAUUACACAGAACACCGAUUGCGAAGGCAGCUUACUAAGCUGGUACUGACGCUGAGGCACGAAAGCGUGGGGAGCAAACAGGAUUAGAUACCCUGGUAGUCCACGCUGUAAACGAUGA